UACCAGACUCCUACGGGAGGCAGCAGUGGGGAAUAUUGCACAAUGGGGGAAACCCUGAUGCAGCAACGCCGCGUGAGUGAGGAAGUAUUUCGGUAUGUAAAGCUCUAUCAGCAGGGAAUAGAAAAGAAGGUACCUGAAAAAGAAGCCCCGGCUAACUACGUGCCAGCAGCCGCGGUAAUACGUAGGGGGCAAGCGUUAUCCGGAUUUACUGGGUGUAAAGGGAGCGUAGACGGAAAGGCAAGUCAGAAGUGAAAUCCAUGGGCUUAACCCAUGAACUGCUAUUGAAACUGCACAGCUUGAGUGAAGUAGAGGUAGGCGGAAUUCCCGGUGUAGCGGUGAAAUGCGUAGAGAUCGGGAGGAACACCAGUGGCGAAGGCGGCCUACUGGGCUUUAACUGACGCUGAGGCACGAAAGCGUGGGUAGCAAACAGGAUUAGAUACCCGGGUAUA
rnacentral:rRNA from 1 species